rnacentral:rRNA from 1 species
UACGUAGGUGGCAAGCGUUAUCCGGAAUUAUUGGGCGUAAAGCGCUCGCAGGCGGUUUCUUAAGUCUGAUGUGAAAGCCCACGGCUUAACCGUGGAGGGUCAUUGGAAACUGGGAGACUUGAGUGCAGAAGAGGAGAGUGGAAUUCCACGUGUAGCGGUGAAAUGCGUAGAGAUGUGGAGGAACACCAGUGGCGAAGGCGACUCUCUGGUCUGUAACUGACGCUGAGGAGCGAAAGCGUGGGGAGCAAACAGG